AACGCACCUUGCGCUCCUUGGUAUUCCUUGGAGCAUGCCUGUUUGAGUAUCAUGAAAUCUUCGAGAUAGAUCUUUCGUUCAUUCGAUUGAUUUUAUUUUGGACUUGGAGGUCUUGCAGAUUCUCACGUCUGCUCCUCUCAAAUGCAUUAGCUGGAUCUCCGUGAUCUCGGUUCCACUCGGCGUGAUAAGUAAUCACUCGCUGAGGACACCGUAAAAAGUGGCCGGGUCCACAGACGAACCGCUUCCAACUGUCCAUUGGCUUUGGACGAUCGAACCUUUAUGAUCUGAUCUCAAAUCAGGUAGGAAUACCCGCUGAACUUAA
rnacentral:misc_RNA from 1 species